CGAGUCCUCGAUGAUGCUCGGGAGUCCUGCGUUACCAGGUGUGGGUUCUACCUACAAGAGGUAGAAAGUCCCUCAAGCUUGACGUCCGGGUGGCGGAUGGAUCGUUCCUGCUCUGAUGCUGGCAUUUCAUGCCACUGCAGAACUGUGACUAAGGAAGAACUGUGACUAAGCUGCAGAGAAGGGCUGCAGAGGCAGAAGUGAACCUCAUAUUUUCUAGAUCCAGGCCGUUCUUCACAAUCCUCCCACAGAGAAAGAAACUCUUCACACAAAGGAUGGUGAGCUCCCUCAAGGCACUGAAAGAUUGGAAAAUAAUAAGGACUUCACGAAGACGAACAACAACUCUGAAGGCAUGAAGGUUUGAGCUCUCGUGCCCGCGGUCUGCUUCCACAGCCGGUUGGUUGGUGUACAGGAUUUUGUAUUAUGUGUGUUUAUAGACUUUGAUGCAGUGGUACCGUUGUUGGUGUACUAAUCUUUCAUCCCAUGCUUGUCAGGCAAAAAGAUUUCCAUUUUGUAUCUUACAGCACUAGCAGUUGUUAAAGUCACACACCGACUAAAGGGACAUUGAG
rnacentral:lncRNA from 1 species